rnacentral:tRNA from 1 species
GCCUGGAUAGCUCAGUCGGGAGAGCAUCAGACUUUUAAUCUGAAGGUCCAGGGGUUCAAGUCUCUGUUCACGCU